AGAGUUUGAUCCUGGCUCAGGAUGAACGCUAGCGGCAGGCUUAACACAUGCAAGUCGAGGGGCAGCAUACCCAGCAAUGGGUGAUGGCGACCGGCGGAAGGGUGCGUAACGCGUGAGCAACAUACCCUAUACAGGGGGAUAAGCCAGGGAAACUUGGUCUAAUAUCCCAUAGGAAAUAGAUAAGGCAUCUUGUUUAUUUUAAAGCUUCGGUGGUAUAGGAUUGGCUCGCGUGACAUUAGCUAGAUGGAGGGGUAACGGCCCACCAUGGCAAUGAUGUCUAGGGGUUCUGAGAGGAAGAUCCCCCACACUGGGACUGAGACACGGCCCAGACUCCUACGGGAGGCAGCAGUGAGGAAUAUUGGACAAUGGAUGGAAAUCUGAUCCAGCCAUGCCGCGUGCAGGAAGACGGCCCUAUGGGUUGUAAACUGCUUUUAUACGGGAGCAAUAAGGUCUAUGCAUAGAUUGAUGAGAGUACCGUAUGAAUAAGCAUCGGCUAACUCCGUGCCAGCAGCCGCGGUAAUACGGAGGAUGCGAGCGUUAUCCGGAUUUAUUGGGUUUAAAGGGUGCGUAGGCGGCUUUGUAAGUCAGCGGUGAAAUUUUGCAGCUUAACUGUAAAAGCGCCGUUGAUACUGUGAAGCUAGGAUUUGGUUGCUGUGGGCGGAAUGUGUGGUGUAGCGGUGAAAUGCAUAGAGAUCACACAGAAUAUCGAUUGCGAAGGCAGCUCACAAAGCCAAUAUUGACGCUGAGGCACGAAAGUGUGGGGAUCAAACAGGAUUAGAUACCCUGGUAGUCCACACUGUAAACG
rnacentral:rRNA from 1 species